GCCGAGGUGGCGGAAUGGCAGACGCGCUGGUCUCAAACACCAGUGGGGAAACCCGUGCGAGUUCGACUCUCGCCCUCGGCACCA
rnacentral:tRNA from 1 species